rnacentral:rRNA from 1 species
AUUGAACGCUGGCGGCAGGCCUAACACAUGCAAGUCGAACGGUAACAGGGAUCAGCUUGCUGAUUCGCUGACGAGUGGCGGACGGGUGAGUAAUGUCUGGGAAGCUGCCUGAUGGAGGGGGAUAACUACUGGAAACGGUAGCUAAUACCGCAUAACGUCGCAAGACCAAAGAGGGGGACCUUCGGGCCUCUUGCCAUCGGAUGUGCCCAGAUGGGAUUAGCUAGUAGGUGGGGUAACGGCUCACCUAGGCGACGAUCCCUAGCUGGUCUGAGAGGAUGACCAGCCACACUGGAACUGAGACACGGUCCAGACUCCUACGGGAGGCAGCAGUGGGGAAUAUUGCACAAUGGGCGCAAGCCUGAUGCAGCCAUGCCGCGUGUAUGAAGAAGGCCUUCGGGUUGUAAAGUACUUUCAGCGGGGAGGAAGGGAGUAAAGUUAAUACCUUUGCCCAUUGACGUUACCCGCAGAAGAAGCACCGGCUAACUCCGUG